rnacentral:rRNA from 1 species
UACGUAGGUGGCAAGCGUUGUCCGGAUUUACUGGGCGUAAAGAGCGCGCAGGCGGUCGUUCAAGUCGCGUGUGAAAGCCCCCGGCUCAACUGGGGAGGGUCACGCGAUACUGAUCGACUCGAAGGCAGGAGAGGGUAGUGGAAUUCCCGGUGUAGUGGUGAAAUGCGUAGAUAUCGGGAGGAACACCCGUGGCGAAGGCGGCCCCCUGGGCCGAACCUGACGCUGAGGCGCGAAGGCUAGGGGAGCGAACGGG